UAUGUACAUGCCUACAAUGUUAAUGCAACAGAUCCCAUCAUAACUCUAUAGUUAAGGGUGCUUGUGAUAGAUUAGUACUGGGAUGGGUGACCUCUCAGGAAGUCCUAGUGUUUUACAUGC
rfam:Picea glauca, whole genome shotgun sequence.